rnacentral:rRNA from 1 species
AGAGAGAGACAUGCGCGCAUAUCAAUAAGCGGAGGAAAAGAAGCUAACAAGGAUUCCCUUAGUAACGGCGAGUGAAGCGGGAAGAGCUCAAAUUUGAAAUCUUCAAGGUUUUACCUUGACGAAUUGUAGUUUAAAGAAGUGUUUUCUGCUGAAGUUUUGGUAAAAGUUCUUUGGAAUAGGACAUCAUAGAGGGUGAGAAUCCCGUAUUUGACCAUUAUUUUCAGCUUUGUGAUACACUUUCAAAGAGUCGGAUUGUUUGGGAAUGCAGUCCAAAAUGGGUGGUAAAUUUCAUCUAAAGCUAAAUAUUGGCGAGAGACCGAUAGCGAACAAGUACCGUGAGGGAAAGAUGAAAAGAACUUUGAAAAGAGAGUUAAACAGUACGUGAAAUUGUCAAAAGGGAAGCGUUUGACACCAGUGUUGUUUUCUCGAAAAUCAAUUAAAAAUGGCUCGAUUUUGUAUUGCUGAGACCUUAAAAGCUCACUGUACAUUUUUCGUGUCUUUUUUAAUGCACUUUUCGUUUAACAAGUCAACAUCAGUUUCUUUUGUUGUAAAAGGGUCAUUGGAAGGUGGCUUUCUUUUCGGAGAAAGUGUUUAUAGCCUUUGGCCUCUGCAAUCGGAAGAGACUGAGGUCUGCAGCGUAGACUCUUCGGGGUUAGAUACAUUUGUGCUAAGUUAUAGCUUUUUUAUAGACAACUUGUUGACUAUAAUUAGUCUUGUAGCUUACUCGCUUAUGCUAUUUUACCUACGCUUAGGAUGUUGAAGUCAUCGUAUCGCGC